rnacentral:rRNA from 1 species
UAAAUUGUUCAUUAAUUGUGAACUGGAAUGAAGGAAAAAAUGGUUUAAAUCUGUCUUAAAUACUAUAUGUUAAAUUUAAAUUUUUUGUAAAAAUACAAAAAUUUCUUUUAGGGACAAGAAGACCCUAUAAAGCUUAUCUGAUAUUAUAACAUAAUUUGUUAUUAAAAUCAAUUUGAUUGGGGCAAUAAUUUAUAAACAAUUAAUAUAAAUUUAAUUUAAAUAAUUAUAUAUUAAUAUAAUGAUCCAUUAAUAAUGAAAAAUGAUUAAGUUACUUUAGGGAUAACCGGGUAAUUUUUUUUUGAAAGUUCUUAUUAAUAAUAAAGUUUAUUACCUCGAUGUUGAAUUAAUUUAAUUAAAUGGUGAAGUAGCCAUUUUUAAUUUGACUGUUCGCCAAUUAAAUAAUUACAUGAUCUGAGUUC